rnacentral:rRNA from 1 species
UACGUAGGUGACCAGCGUUGUCCGGAUUUACUGGGCGUAAAGAGCGCGCAGGCGGUCGUUCAAGUCGAGUGUGAAAGCCCCGGGCUCAACUGGGGAGGGUCACUCGAUACUGAUCGACUUGAAGGCAGGAGAGGGAAGCGGAAUUCCCGGUGUAGUGGUGAAAUGCGUAGAUAUCGGGAGGAACACCAGUGGCGAAGGCGGCUUCCUGGCCUGUUCUUGACGCUGAGGCGCGAAAGCUAGGGGAGCAAACGGG